rnacentral:rRNA from 1 species
AAUAGAUACCCGGUAGUCCACGCCGUAAACGUUGGAUACUAGGUGUGGCGUCCCGAUCAACGGAUGCCGUGCCGAAGCUAACGCAUUAAGUAUCCCGCCUGGGGAGUACGGCCGCAAGGCUAAAACUCAAAGGAAUUGACGGGUCCCCGCACAAGCGGCGGAGCAUGCGGCUUAAUUCGAUGCAACCCGAAGAACCUUACCUGGGUUUGAAAUCAUGGGAAAAGCUGUAGAAAUACAGUGUCCGUAAGGGCCCAUGACAGGUGGUGCAUGGCUGUCGUCAGCUCGUGUCGUGAGAUGUUGGGUUAAGUCCCGCAACGAGCGCAACCCUUGUCCUAUGUUGCCAGCGGUUCGGCCGGGGACUCAUAGGAGACUGCCGGGGAUAACUCGGAGGAAGGUGAGGACGACAUCAAGUCAUCAUGCCCCUUAUAUCCAGGGCUGCACGCAUGCUACAAUGGUCGGUACAACGGGCAGCGACCCCGCGAGGGUGAGCGAAUCCCACAAAGCCGGCCUCAGUUCGGAUUGGAGUCUGCAACUC